rnacentral:tRNA from 1 species
GGGGUUGUGGCUCAGUGGUAGAGCACUUAUCUAGCAUGUGUGAGGCACUGGGUUCAAUUCUCAGCACCA